rnacentral:misc_RNA from 1 species
GUGAAUCAUCAAAUUUUUGAACGCAAAUUGCACUCUCUUCGAUGAGGAGGCCUGUUCCAGUUUGAGCGUCAAGAAUAUCGAAGUAGCCGCUGUUGCGCGGUGACAUUCGUCGGAAAUUGGGUCAUCUUAAACCUUCGGGUUUUUUAAGCGGCUUAAAAUUUUCUUUACGACUCCAUGAUUGUUUCUAAGAUUUUAUUUCUUACUCACCUUUAAGGUAUCGAUCUUUAUUACACGUGUUCGUUACAUCGUAU